AGAGUUUGAUCCUGGCUCAGGACGAACGCUGGCGGCGUGCCUAAAACAUGCAAGUCGAACGGAACUGAUUGAGUGGUAACACUCAUGAAAGUUUAGUGGCGAACGGGUGCGUAACACGUGAGCAACCUGCCCCAAGACCGGGACAACAUCGGGAAACCGUUGCUAAUACCGGAUAUGCUUAUCUAAUCGCAUGAUUUAAUAAGCAAAUGUUUUUUCGUCUUGGGUAGGGGCGUCGCGGCCUAUCAGCUUGUUGGUGAGGUAACGGCUCACCAAGGCUCUGACGGGUAGGCUGGUCGUGAGAGGAC
rnacentral:rRNA from 1 species